AUGAGUGCAAGUCUCCGAUAUUGUUUCUUGACGGUUGCUUCAUCAGACAACCUAUCAAUUUGAAGAAUACCGUACCAGUCCCUUUCUGAUCCUACUCUGUUGUUUUGAGCUGAACAGUGAACAUUACAGACAGCAAGUAACUGGGAUAUGUUCUCUAGUUGAGGGUAAAGUUGUUCUGCUUUCACUGCAACCUUUUUAGCCCCUUCAAAGUCAUUAUUCAACAUUUUCUUCUCCGCAACCUCUUUGGCCCUCAUGGCCUCAUCCUUGUUGCAGUCCAUCACAGAUUCCACUUAAUAAAUCAACCAACCAGGUUAAACAAAAGUUUCUAACUUGCCUUCUUCAUCCCAAUCCCAUUAGAGUAACACGCCUGAUAUGAAAAGGGUCUGAGAGAAAGACCUCAGUUGACACACAAAUAUGGAGAGAGAAAGAGAGUGAAU
rnacentral:misc_RNA from 1 species